AAUCAGUUAAUCUAAAUCUAUAUAACAUGGAGGCAAAAGCAACAGUUAUUGGGAAUUCUCUCGUGGAGCCUUCGAUUCUGGAGCUGGCAAAUAAUCUGCCACUGACAACUGUUCCGCCACGUUAUGUUCGCCCUGAGAUAGACCAUCCCUUGAUUCGCAACGACGAUUCUUCAGCACAACAACUUCCAGUCAUUGACAUGCACACGUUGCUCUCUGGGGAUGACUCAGAGCUUGAGAAGCUUGACUCUGAUACCAAUUGUUGGGAAAAAUUAUCUUUUGAAUUUUUAUAAAACCUUUUGAAGAUCGCUCUCAUAUAAUAUAUAAGAAUUUGUAUUCUAGAAAUCGUACCUUGAAAAUCCGAGUUGGCUUUUUCCGCUGAAGUGAUUUAGGCUCCUAGAUCACGAUCCGCCACCACCACUCCUGUUAGAUCACGAUCCGUCACCACCACGCUUGUUAGAUCACGAACUGUCACCAAUGAUCUUCCAGGUUAUGACUCAGGUUCGAUCUGCACUUGACGUGUGGGCGCCUUUAUCACUACCAAAGCAACUAGCACGAGAAAAUUUUUCUCUCAACAAUAGAGAGAAAAAUCUUAUUCUCCAAUUUGUAUAAAGUGGCUUCUCUCUUUUCCUUUAGAGAAAAUAAACCUUAUAUAUCUUCCUUUAGUGAAAACCCUAGGCUCCAAAUAAUUCAAAAAACAAAACCCACGUUAUUUUCUUUUUCAAUAGGGGACCCACCUUGUAAAAUAACAUAAGGCCCCUUAUACAAAAGCUAAUUAAAUGGAGCCUCCCACUAAAUGAUAUAUUUAGGCUUUUGACCCAAAUAGCUAGUUAUCUUACUUAUUAGUCCAGUAGUGGUGCAGUCAAUUAAAUGAGCUAACCCGGGGAUCAUUUGGGAACAUACAAUAGUGGCUACAAUAAUUAGGCCUUUAAUUAAACUAGCCCAAUUAUUUAAUUCCAAAUCUACUCCACUAAAAGAUUGGAACUGACUUCCAUAAUUGUAUGCUCGAAUAAUAAUUCGCCCCAAGCCACAUUGAUUUCUUUACUGCACAAUCCUUUGUACCACAUCGUUAAUUAAAUUGAUAUCUCAACUGUCCAAUCAAUUUAAUAACAUCUUAUUCCUUGAUCCUUACUGGUUUUCUCUAAUGAUCAUUUUCAACAUACUAAAUAUGUUGACACACUCUGGCCAGAGAAUUCUAUGAUCAAGUACCGAAAACCUAUCAAGAGAUGUGUUGUACAAAUUCUAUAUUGUUAAUCCAUAACUCCAAUACUCAUAAUUGCUCCCACCAAGAUACCGGGUAAUCUUGACCACAAGGAUGUGUCGUGCCCAUUGGUAACUCAAAUGAAAUAACAAUCACAAUCAUGAAAUCAUAAUUAACUCAAGAUUAAGAUUACAGUAAAAUCAACGCCUAUGAGAUUUAAUAAGUCUGACAGUUAUUACAAAGUUAAUUAAAUCUCAUAUGUGAUCCUGUUCAAUGUAGUCGUACUACAUCAAUAAAUUCAUACAUGAUUAAGACAAAUCAUUCAAUGAAUUUAUUACAGUCUAUACCUAAAUAAAGUGCCCAACUUUAUUUAUCAACUGCGAACUAAAUUUAUUUAAUCAUAAGAUAACUUGUAUUUAUGUCUUCUGUGAAUCCACAUGGUGAUCACAUAAAUACAUAUAAUAUGAUUAAAUGGACUUUAAUACAAAUAUUAAUGCAAUUAAGAUAUUUGAAUAAAAUACCUCAUUUAUUUUAUUAAUCAGAAAAAUUGUUUAUUACAAUUAAAUAAACACAUAUGCUUUUAAAGAGCAUAUUUUCCCAACAAUCUCCCACUAGCUCUCAAAGCAUAUCUGGCAUAUUGCACAUGCUCUAGGGCUCUAAGUGCAGGUUAUAAAGGUUUCCCACUAAUGGCCAUUGUAAUAAGAUCUGCCAUUUAGCAUCUAAUGCCAUUUGGGGUACUGUCAUAUAACCUUUCUACACUAUUCCCUUAUAAGAUGAUACUUCCUUUCAAUAUGUUUUGUUUCUUGUGGUUCCUUGGUUCCUUAGAUUGAGCUACCGCACCACCAUUAUCACAAAAUAGUUUAAGGGGUGCAGUUACAACAGGUACCACCUCAAGAUUUCGUAGGAACUUGCAGAGCCAUAUAGCUUCUUUUGCAGCUUCAGAUGUAGCCACAUAUUCAGCUUUAGUUGUUGAGUCUGUGAUACAAGAUUGUUUCACACUCAUCCAACUAGUAGCUCCACUUCCCAAUGUAAACACAUAGCCGGAAGUUGAUUUUCUAAAAUCCUUAUCUGACAAAAAAUCAGAAUUAGUAUAACCCACUAGAAUAAGUUCAUCACCAGAAUACACAAGCAUAUAAUUUUAAGUUCUUUUCAGAUACUUCAUUAUAUGCUUGACCGCAGUCCAGUGUUCAGGUCCAGGAUUAGAUUGAUAUCUACUAACCAUCCCUACCGCAAAACAGAUGUCUGGCCUAGUGCAAAACAUGGCAUACAUGAGACUUCCCACAGCUGUUGCAUAGGGAACUCGUCUCAUUCUCUCUAUCUCUUCAGAUGUUUUAGGUGAUUGAUCCUUAGAGAAUGUAAUUCCAUGUCUGAAUGGUAAUAAACCAGUCUUGGAAUUUUCCAUACUAAAUCUAGCCAAUAUCUUAUCGAUAUAGACCGCUUGAGACAAGGCUAAAGUUUUAUUCUUCCGGUCUCAUAGUAACUUGAUACCAAGAAUAUAACUUGUCUCUCCCAGGUCUUUCAUAUCAAAUUGUUUUGCUAACCAAAUCUUUAUUGUAGUCAAUACUCCUAUAUCGUUUCCAAUCAGGAGAAUAUUGUCUACACAAAGAACUAGGAAGGCUACAAAUUUUCCCUGAAUUUUCUUGUACACACAUGGUUCAUCAAUGUUCUGAAUGAAUCCAAGUGAUUUAAUCGCUUGAUCAAAUCUGAUGUUCCAUGACUGGGAUGCUUGCUUCAAUCCAUAAAUAGAUCUCUGCAACUUACAUACCAUGUGUUCUUGGCCUUUUUUGUAUAAAUCCAUCUGGUUGCUGUAUGUAGAUGUUUUCUUCAAGAUGCCUGUUAAGAAAGGCAGUCUUGACAUCCAUUUGCCAAAUUUCAUAAUCUAGCACUGCAGCAAUGGAGAGCAGAAUCCUGAUGGAUUUAAGCAUAGCAACCGGAGAAAAGGUUUCCUCAUAAUUGAUUCCUUCUUUCUGAGUAAACCCUUCGGCUACUAAUCUUGCUUUAAAUGUUUCCACCCUUCCGUCUACUCCUCUUUUUCUCUUGUAGAUCCACUUGCACCCUAUAGGUUUUACCCCAUUUGGUGCCUCUACAAGUUCCCAGACUUUAUUGGAAUACAUAGAUUCCAUUUCUUGAUUCAUGGCCUUUUUCAAAAUUCAUCAUCUCUAUCUAUUAGAGCUUCAUUGUAACUAGUGGGAUCUUGUACAUGUUCAUCUAAGAUAGCCUUAUAGGUUUCUCCCAAAAACAUGUAUCUUGCAGGUAACCUAGUUACCCUCCCACUACGACGAGGUUCUAAAAGUGAUGAUUGUUCAAGGAUAAUCCUGUGCUGAUCAGCUGGUUGUUGCUGUUCUUCCUGUUCUAUAACAGGUGUUGAAAGCUGAGCAUCAACCUGAUCUCUUUUAUUUCUCUAGUUUUACCUUACUCUUAGGUUAUAAGUCAUUAUAUAGUCUUCCUCAAAGAAAGUAAAAAAUAUUUCUAUAAAUACAUUCCUAUCUUGAGGACUAUAAUUCAGACUUUCCCUUAUUCCUUUAAGAUACCUAAAACAUGCAAGCUUCUGAACACGAAUCCAUCUUCUCUAUCUCUGAUUCUAGUAGAAAUACUAGUAAACUCCAAAUACGAAUGUGUCUCAAACCAUGUUUGUGACUUUUUCAUAAUUUCUUGGAGUAGUGGACACCGAGAUAGAUGAAACUAAGUUCAAUAAACUUUGUAGUUUCAAAUACUAGUAUCUGGAAUCAAAAAGGUAAAUGAUAAACCACUUAGUAUAUAUCUUGUCUUAUCCAAAAGAAUCUUGUUUCUCCAUUUAAUUACACUAUUGUAUCAUAGUGUUCAUUGACAACCAAAUAGUGCUUGAAUUCUCCAUAGAGAUAUUCUUUGUUUCGAUCAUAUCGAAAUUCUUUUAUGUUCCUGUCUAAUUGCUUCUGUCUUAUUCACGUACUCUUUUGAAUUUCAAAAGCAAUGGAAUCAUGACUCAUUUAGACAAACAUAAAAUGAAUAUUCAUCAACUAGAUUGAUAGAAUACUCAUAACCUCUUAUAACAUGUAAACUGAUUAGUCCGUAUACAUUUGUAUGCGCUAAAUCAUCAAAUACAAUGUUAUGCUUUUAGCUCAUAAAGAGUAUCCUUGUCAUAUUACUUUUCUAAAUAAGAUUUAUAGAGUUACAAUGAUCAAUCUUAAUAGGCCAACAAGUCUAUCAUUAAUCAUUUUCUUAAAAUCUUAUUAUAGUUUAUAUGACUUAAGCAUAACUAUCAGAGGUGAUUUUUGGUUAGAAGAAACAUUUCUUUUCUUAGAUAAAUGCAUAUACUUUUAAUCAUUAUAUCUUACUUUGAAUAGAUCAAUGUACUUUUAUGAUAUAAAUUGUCUUUAUAAAUAACCAAAAUAAGUAAUAAACAGAGGAUCCAAAAAUAACAGUGUACUCCUGUUUAUUAAAACAAGCCACUGAAAUUAAAUUCCUCUAAUAUUUGGAAAAAUAAAGACAAAUAUCAAAACUAAAGUCUUGUAAAAUUGAUCUAGUCUUUCAAUUGAUAUAAACUAGCACAUCCUCAACUGCUAUUUGAAGCUUUCUUCACUUAAUCUCUUGGUUUCCUGAAAACCAAAUAAAUGAAUUACAAAUAAGAUUAGUUAUCUCAGAAUUCAUUAUUGUAUGAAUCAAUAGAAAUCUGAACUAAUUAGGAAGCUUAAAGAUUUCCUAUACCUGAUUUUAAUAAUCUUAGGACAAUCUUUCUUCCAGUGACCCUUCUGUCCACAUUUGUAACACUUGCCUUUUGGCUUGCCACUUCUUUUAAUGGACAGUUUGCCGAUCCCAACUCUUGCUUGCUCAUUCUUGUCUUUUGACUUAAGCCUUGAAGAGAAUCCUUUUUCAGGAAGUUUUCUGCUAUGAUAAAAUUCUUCUAUAGCAUGUAGUUCGUGCAUUAAUUCAAUUAAGGUCAUAUCUUUAUUGUUUAAGAUAUAGCUGACCUUAAACUCUUUGAAUGUAUCAGGUAAAGAUUCAAUCACCAUGUUAAUCUUUGAUUUAUCACCAUGAAUCUCUACCUCAUUCAAAUAGUCCAUCAUUUUGAGGACAUGAUCACGAACUUUUGUGCCCUCUUCCAUCUGAGUAUCUGAGUAUCCGUAAUACGUUUUAAUGCUGCUUCUCUGGCAAAAUGGGUAUUUUGCCCAAACAUCUGAUGAAGACUAGCCAUUAUUUCAGUGGCUGUUUCCAUGCUCCGAUGUUUCUUAUGCAGUUCCACAGAAAUCGAAGCCAAUAUAUAGCGCUUAGCCAUUUUGUUAGCUUCGCACCAUUUCUCAUAAGGCUCCCUCUGAUUUCUAUAAUCGUAUAACGAUGGUUCAGGAGGGCAAGGCUGGGUCAACACAUAUUUGCUUCCCUUAGCAGUGAGAAUAUUAAAUAGAUUGCGUUUCCAAUCUAAAUAAUUUUCGCCAGUGAGUUCAUUUUUAACAAGGAUAAAUAAUAAUGGGUUGAUGGAAGACAUUUUCUGAAAAAAAAAAAUACACAUGCAUAAAUACUUUGAAACAAUAUUCACAAUAAAUGACAAAAAUGCAAAAAACCAUAAAUGCAUUUUAAUUUAUUGUAACGAUAAUCUAGUACCGCUUUGACAAGCUAUCCGUUGGGGAAGUCAUGUCUACACUUACUAGACCCAAUUAUCCAUUGGAUUAUUUACUUUCAUGUAGAGACAUGAUAAAUAAUUAUCGUUAUCCCUUUGGACCUAAAUUUGUUAACAGAGCUUCGUUGGGAAGGUUAAUAACAAAUUUUAGUUGAGUGUAUAACCAUUGUUUCAAUCUACGUAUUUUUCAUAUCAAUAGUCACCGUUGGGGUGAACAAUCGAUUGAAAAAUAUUUCAAUUUUAUCUUUGAAGAAGUUCAUCAAAUAAAAUAUCUAAUAUAUAUACCCUCCGAAGGGAGCAUCACCGUAUCAUGAAGUCGAGGUAUAUAUAUAAUUUUAUUAUUGAACUAACAAUGGAGCCCGUGGGAAAAUUAUCUUGAAUUUUCCCUCUCCCACUCAAUAUUUUAAAAUUGGUUUUUCCUUUUUAAAACAUACAUAUUGUUAAUUGCAUGCUUCCUAUAAUAUUAUCUAGAUGAUAUCAAAUAUUAUUAAGCAUACGCAAAUUUCAAACAAUAUAAUGAAAUUCAUUAUUAAUGAAUGACAUGUAUCAUUAUGCAUAGAGUGGCACUACCUAUUCUAUAUGACAUGUUAUCAUGGCAUGUUAUCAUCCAAAACAUAACAUAUAGAAAAACAAUUAAAUAAUCUUAAUUCAUGGCUUUCCUAAUAAUGAAAAAUACAUUAACCCUAAGCCUAAUCUUCAUUGGGCUUCUUGUCAAUGUCCAUCUUCCAUAAUCUUGUCUUUGUUAAUGGACUAGGGGAAAUUGGGCUUUUAAAUUUAUAAUUGGUCCAAUUUUUAAUUUUAAAAAGAAAUAAAUAAAUAAAUAAAUAAUUUUAUUAAAAUAAAACUUUUGGACCAAAAAUAGAUUUAAUGUGUUCAAUUUUAUCUAUGCAUUAUAAUCCAUUAAACCCAAUUGAAAUUGGGCCUAAAGCUAGGAUUCACAAAGCCCAAAACUGUUUUUGGACUUAAAUGCAAAAAACUUAAACGUGUCUACCCAAAAGAAAAAAUUAUGGAGCCAUAGGGACCUCAAUGAUAAAAACCAUGAAACCCUAAAUCCAUAUUUUUCUUUCUCUCUUCCCCAGCCGCCAUCUCCAAAAACCUCCACCACUGUUCAGAUGCCAGCCGACCUCCGACGCAUCUCCGACAUCGAACCACCUGCCACCGCGUCGCCGGAAACGCAUCAAACUCGCGCGCGCUGCUGGCCACGCUGGCCCCGCGCGCUGUUUGCUGCGCGAGCAGCCUGUGCCAUCGCGUGCUGCGCGCACAAGCCACGCUUCCCGCGCGCGCUGGCUGCUGCGCGCUGCUGCUGCGUGCACGCUUGCGUUGCAGCGCGCGCUGCUGGCAGCAUGUGCUGCUGGCCGCGCGCUGCUCGCGCAGCAGCGUGUGCUGCUGGCCCCUCGUUGCUGAAAUUUCCGGCCUCGAUUGUUUGCGCUCGUUUUCCAGUGAUGAUGCUUCGGUGAUUUNNNNNNNNNNNNNNNNNNNNNNNNNNNNNNNNNNNNNNNNNNNNNNNNNNNNNNNNNNNNNNNNNNNNNNNNNNNNNNNNNNNNNNNNNNNNNNNNNNNNNNNNNNNNNNNNNNNNNNNNNNNNNNNNNNNNNNNNNNNAAGACAAACCAAAACAUGCUUUAUUCAUAUAUUAAACAAUUAAUAUAUAUCUGAAUAAAUUGUGCCACUCUAAUACAUAAAUUUCAAGAAUGAUUUCAUACGAAAUUCUUAUAUAUUAAUAUGAGAUGGCUCUGAUACCAAUUGUUGGGGAAAAAUCAGGUUUUUAAAUUUUUAUAAAACCUUUUGAAGAUCGCUCUCAUAUAAUAUAUAGAAUUCGUAUUCUAGAAAUCGUACCUUGUAAAUCUGAGUUUGCUUUUUCCGCUGAAGUGAUUUAGGCUCCUAGAUCACGAUCCGCCACCACCACUCCUGUUAGAUCACGAUCCGUCACCACCACGCUUGUUAGAUCACGAACUGUCUCCAAUGAUCUUCCAGGUUAUGACUCAGGUUCGAUCUGCACUUGACGUGUGGGCGCCUUUAUCACUACCAAAGCAACUAGCACGAGAAAAUUUUUCUCUCAAUAAUGGAGAGAAAAAUCUUAUUCUCUGAUUUGUAUAAAGUGGCUUCUCCCUCUCCUUUUUGGGAAAAUAAGCCUUAUAUAUCUCCCUUUAGUGAAAACCCUAGGCUCCAAGGAUUCCCCCAAAAUAAAACUCACGUUACUUUUCAUUUAAUAGGGGACCCACCAUGUAAAAUAACAUAAGGCCCCUUACACAUAAGCUUAUUAAAUGGAGCCUCCCACUAAAUGAUAUAUUUAGGCUUUUGACCCAAAUAGCUAGUUAUCUUGCUUAUUAGUCCAGCAGUGGUGCAAUCAAUUAAAUGAGCUAACCCGGGGAUCAUUUGGGAACAUACAAUAGUGGCUACAAUAAUUAGGCCUGUAAUUAAACUAGCCCAAUUAUUUAAUUCCAAAUCUACUCCACUAAAAGAUUGGAACUGACUUCCAUAAUUGUAUGCUCGAAUAAUAAUUCGUCCCAAGCCACAUUGAUUUCUUUACUGCACAAUCCUUUGUACCACAUCGUUAAUUAAAUUGAUAUCUCAACUGUCCAAUCAAUUUAAUAACAUCUUAUUCCUUGAUCCUUACUGGUUUUCUCUAAUGAUCAUUUUCAACAUACUAAAUAUGUUGACACACUCUGGCCAGAGAAUUCUAUGAUCAAGUACCGAAAACCUAUCAAGAGAUGUGUUGUACAAAUUCUAUAUUGUUAAUCCAUAACUCCAAUACUCAUAAUUGCUCCCACCAAGAUACCGGGUAAUCUUGACCACAAGGAUGUGUCGUGCCCAUUGGUAACUCAAAUGAAAUAACAAUCACAAUCAUGAAAUCAUAAUUAACUCAAGAUUAAGAUUACAGUAAAAUCAACGCCUAUGAGAUUUAAUAAGUCUGACAGUUAUUACAAAGUUAAUUAAAUUUCAUAUGUGAUCCUGUUCAAUGUAGUCGUACUACAUCAAUAAAUUCAUACAUGAUUAAGACAAAUCAUUCAAUGAAUUUAUUACAGUCUAUACCUAAAUAAAGUGCCCAACUUUAUUUAUCAACUGCGAACUAAAUUUAUUUAAUCAUAAGAUAACUUGUAUUUAUGUCUUCUGUGAAUCCACAUGGUGAUCACAUAAAUACAUAUAAUAUGAUUAAAUGGACUUUAAUACAAAUAUUAAUGCAAUUAAGAUAUUUGAAUAAAAUACCUCAUUUAUUUUAUUAAUCAGAAAAUUGUUUAUUACAAUUAAAUAAACACAUAUGCUUUUAAAGAGCAUAUUUUCCCAACAGUAAAGAGUGGGGUUUCUUUCAGGUACAUAAUAAUUGAGCAGUGAUAUUCAUAUAAUGAAAAUACUUAAUUGAUUGCAAAUCAUUGCUUUGGUUAGCGUUUUUUCAGGUCUCAGUGUUUUUACAUUUUCCAUAAAAAUCAUUUUACUUCCUGAGCUUUAAGUUUCCUAUAUGAACCAUGCAUGUAAAGACUGGGGUUUCUUUCAGGUACAUAACAAUUUAGCAGUGAUAUUCAGAUAAUAAAAAUUAGACAAAACGUUUACAAAAAACAAAGUAAAUCAGUACCGGAUUAGUCACUUGAUUGUAAACCCAUUAAACAGACUAAUUUAUCGUUGUUUUUGUCAGCAUUUUAUCAGCUCUCCGUUUCUUUAGCAUUUUCCAUAAAAAUCAUUUUGUUUCCAGAACUUCAAAAUUUCCUUUAUGAACCAUGUAUAUAUGGAAAGAACAUCUUGCUUUAAUUUGCAUAUAUGCGGUUGAUGAAUCAUGGAGUGAGCAGUUCAUUGGUGGAGAAAGUGAAAGCAGAGAUUCAAGAAUUCUUUAAUCUUCCAAUUGAUGAGAAAAAGAAGUUUUGGCAGCAGCCAGGAGAUGUUGAGGGAUUUGGGCAGCUUUUUAUUACGUCUGAAGAGCAGAAGCUUGAUUGGGGAUACGGCUUUACUAUGUUCACUCUCCCAACCCAUCUGAGGAAACCCCACUUGUUCCCCAAGUUGCCUCUUCCAUUCAGGUUCUAUACUUAAAUUUUAGACUUUUCUUAUAUAGUAUAUUCUAUCUUAUGAUAAUUACUGGACUAUAUAUUAUUAUUUGCAUGCGGAGAUGACUUGGAAGUUUACUUAACGGAACUUAAAAAUCUUACCUUGAAAAUCCUUGACCUAAUGGCUAAAGCUCUAAGAAUGGAUCCCAAUGACAUG
rnacentral:lncRNA from 1 species